UCUCCGUAGGUGAACCUGCGGAGGGAUCAUUACAUAGAUCAUUCCCUACACUGUGGAUCAACCACCCUAUGCUCUCAUUACUUUGUUGCUUUAGCGCUCCAUUAAGCUCCGACCCGACUACCCGUCCCAGCUGUUAAGCGCCAGCCGGAUGGCCCAAACCCACAAAUAUUACUAUCAUCUGCAUACUACAUAAUAAUUAAAACUUUCAACACCGGAUCUCUUAACUCUGGCCUCCAUGAAAAACGCAAUAGAUCGGAACUCCCCACGUCUGAACACCCA
rnacentral:misc_RNA from 1 species